rnacentral:lncRNA from 1 species
AACGAACAGAAACACAAAACUUCUCUUCCCUCCCGGAAGAUCCUUGCAUCUGAUCCUCUCCAUCAGCCAUUUUCAUCCCUCAGCCCCCUUCCAUCAUCCUAGCACAAGAGAAACCAAGAAUAAAACAACAUCAAUGUCAUAUAUAUAAAGAAAGAGAAAGAAUUAUGAGUUAUAAGACAGCUCAGUCAUUCAUUGUAGAUUAUUUUCUUUUACCGGUGAGCAAGAAGAUGGGAAUCUUAUAUUUGGUAUUUUAACUGCUGUAGAAAUAUUUUAUUUCAUCAAUCAAUCGUAGUUGAACAUAUUAGCUUAAGAACUUUUGGUUUAUUCCUUAUAUUUCUCUGAAAUUCAGUGUGGAAAAAUGUCUACUUAGGUCAUUUUCACCUUUUCAGAUUAUUCAUUAUUUGUAUUAUAUUGUUGAAUAAUGUCAUUAUAUAACACGAUAAUCUUUUGUGUUAUUUUCCUGAAUAGAUGAACUUUAUACUGCUCGGUAUAUUUCUUUUUUUUUUUGUAAAAAUAUAUGUUUCUUCUAUCUUCAACUAAAAGAAAAGGAAUGAAGCAACACAUAUAGUUAGCUCUUUUAAUAUAUCAAAUCCCUUUAUUUUAUAUAGAGCAUAUGAUAGAGCUGUUAUUAGGAGUAGAAGCUGAUCAGUAUUAAACAUCAACUAUCAUGAUGACUUGAAGAAGCAGGCAACUACUCCAAACAAAAAAGGUUAUACACUUUGUAUAUGUCUAACUAAUAUUAAAUAAAAUGUUAAGGAAGUAAAGAGUUCGUCCACGUACUUCGCCGACAACGCACAUCUUCCGAGUUUUGAAGUAAAGAGUUGUCACUUUAGACAAGUGUGGUUUGGAAAAUGAUCUUUAAACUGCGUUUGUGUUUUUUUAUUCUUUGUCAGCAGUCCAUUUUGUUAGAUCAAAUGAUAGUCGAGAUUAAGAUGUUUCCAAAAGACUCGCUCCAAUCCGGUCUUAUCUAAUAGAAAAGAGAAUAACACCACUUUUUCGCUUCUUUGGCAAGAAAAUCUGCAUGCAUAUUCUUAUACCUACGAAUAUGAAAAUACUAAAACCCUCGAAACCGUCAUGUAGGAAGCAAAAAAAAGACUAACUCGAAAGUAAAAGCCGACCAAUUAAUAGGAUUACCAAUCAAGUAUUUCCCUUUUGACAAAAGCAAUUAUAAAAGUCUUACUUGAGUGCAGAUUCAAGAAAUACUUCUUGACAAAACAUCGUCAUUAGAAACAUCCCACACACUCUAACCCAUCUCACAAACAACCCAAUAACGCCAUAACAAGUCAAAAUAUUAACUAUGUACACUCUCAUAUUAACUGUGUUUCCAUCGUCAAAAUAAUACACUACUUUUUUUUUUUGAAACACUUAAAAUAAUACACUACUGUUGUCACUAACCACCAUAAAAUGGAUAAAAAACAAUUUUAAACUCAUUAAAAAUAAAUAUAUAAACCCGGCGCGUAGCGCCGGAAUACCACUACUAAAUAAAUAUUUUAGUCAUUAGAGAAGUGGUUAGUGAAAUAAAAGCCGACCAGUUUGGUUCCGGUCACUCUGAUCCGUUGCGUAACCAACAGUUCAAAAUUAAAAUGACUAACCAAAUUAAAUACAGUGUUAGUAAAAACCUGAAGCUUAUUGGACAAUAUAGAAAUGGUUUUCUUUUACUUGGUCUCUUGUCGAAUGUCCUCGGAGAGAUGAUCAAAUUAAAUAGUAAUAGGCUAUUAAAUACUAG